CAGUCGCCGCGGUAAUGCGUAGGUGGCAAGCGUUGUCCGGAAUUAUUGGGCGUAAAGCGCGCGCAGGCGGUUUAAUAAGUCUGAUGUGAAAGCCCACGGCUCAAUCGUGGAGGGUCAUUGGAAACUGUUAAACUUGAGUGCAGGAGAGAAAAGUGGAAUUCCUAGUGUAGCGGUGAAAUGCGUAGAGAUAGGAGGAACACCAGUGGCGAAGGCGGCUUUUUGGCCUGUAACUGACACUGAGGCGCGAAAGCGUGGGGAGCAAACAGGAUUAGAGACCCGAGUAGUCCCUGUCUCUUAUACA
rnacentral:rRNA from 1 species